ensembl:lncRNA
CACAGCAGGCUAGAAUAUGCGCUGAGCCUCAGCACCAUGGUUGCAAUACUUGGACAUGUUUUCUUUAUUAAAUAAUGAACCAGACCCCAAAAAGUAAACAGCUGUUAUUGCUAGGCAACGGGAGCAGCAUUUGGUGAUGCAGCACCUGACAUUCCUGACCAUGUGGGCGGAGCAUGCAUGAAAUGGAAUGUUUAGUAGAACUGUGCAACACAAGCACUUAGUUACAGCAUUUUUCAUUGUAUCCAGACACGGCUAGAGACACAUCUACAGCAGCAUCUCUGUGCAGGACAAACGACAGUUGACGAAAAAAAACCAUUGAGAACUUCCCUUCUCCACAUUACUUUGGUUUCUUUGUUUAAAGGGCCAAAAUGAAUCAAGGGAGAUCAAGAAGAGGCUUGGUGAGUGCUUCACCAUACGCUACAGUACAGUCUGAGCUGACUAACCUACAAGAAGAAUUUCAAAAAAUACAGGCUGAAAAUGUCAAAUUAAAAGAAGAGGCAGAAAAAUCAAGAGGAGAAGCUAAAAAUUCAAAGUUUGAAACUGAAAUAGUAUUGAAGGAAUUGCUGCAUGUAGGUCUAAAACUUAAAGGAGAGAAAAUGGGAAAACAAAAGGCAGAAAAUGAGAAUGAAAAUAUCAAGAAAGAACUGUUGGAAGCUCAAAAAACACUGGAGGAAGAGAAAACCACAGCACAAGAAGCCAAAAAUAAAUAUCAAACUACAAAGAAGGAGGCAGAAAAUGUGAUGCAGGAAUUACAGGAGGUGCAGAAAGCUUUUGAAGAGGAAAAAAGGAAAAUGCAGUUGGCAACACAAGAGGCUGAAAAUGCAAUGGCUGAAGCUGAAAUACUAAGAAAGGAAUUACUGCAUGUAAAGCAAGAACUUGAAGAGGAGAAAAAAGGUAAACAUGAGGCAAAACAGGAAAGUGAAACUCUGAAGAAGGAACUGAUGAAAGUGCAAGAAGAACUUGCAGAAGAGAAAAUUGAGGUGAAGGUAUUCAAGAAAGAAAUGACAGGCUCUGAGGUGACCAAGAAAGACUGCAAAGAUGCACUUAAAGAAAUAAAAAAGCACAAAAAGGAAGCUAAAGAGCUCCUCAAACAGAAAGGGAAACUGGCCAAACAGCAGCUGAAAGAAAAAUUUCAAGACGCCGAGGAGCAGCUAAAACAAACCUUAAAAGAGAUGAAGGCAAAAGAAAAAGAAAAGAAAGCCGAGGACAGGAGUGGAUUCUGGAGCAGACUGCUGAGAAAAAACUGACCCAGCAGCAUCUUCUUCCUUCCCCGUCUCUCCACCUUUCUUUCACCCCAUCCUUCUUCUUCUCUCUCUCUCUCAUCUUCUCUACCCUCACCUGUCACCUUUAACCCACUUUCUCUUUCACCGUCCCUCUCCUCCUAAAAAUCCCCCCAAACUUUACUUGGGACGUUUGUUUGUUUUUUAAAAACUUUAUUCUGAAUACAUGUACUUAAAUACACAAAUAAAAUUGACAUAACUUGAUGAGACCUCA